rnacentral:misc_RNA from 1 species
GAAACUUUGACACCUAAAAUCCUUGAGUAGAAAGUAGGCUGCCUUGUUAUGUAAUUUUCCAUCGAGUCAACAGAAAAAGGGAGAGGAUACAAAUACACAUCAAGACUCAACAGCGAAGCUCUCCUAAAAUAUUUCAAACAAAUGCUGAAGGAAGACAUUUUCAAGUGCUUCUACUAUUGCAUAUUCUAUUUAAAACACUCAGUAAUUAAACAUUAUCAAAUACCAGACGAUGUUCUAAUAACCUAAAAGUGCAUCAAUUUUGAAAAAUUCAGUGAAUAGAACAUAUAGUUUGAAGAUAAUCUUCGCAACAUCAACAGACCUCCCCAAAAAGGAAUGCGCCACACAGCAAUCACAUUUAAAUUUAAAUUCUGGGCUUUGCAUAACAUAGGUCCGAAUCAGGCACCCAAAUUUGACAAAACAAAGCCACAAUUUCCACCAUCAUCAACAUUCUACGAGUUAUUCAAUGGGGUGUUCCUCCCCAUUUGUAAAAGGGCAAAACUUACAAUCUCCAGCAUUCCUGGUUGUUAAAAAAAAAAAAUCCUUAGCAUCGAAAAAAAUAAAUAUUUCAGUAGCAAGUAUAUAUGAAAGGGAAAUAUUUGAAUAGACAAAAUAGUACAUGUCUAAAUUGUUAUAUUUAUAUAAAGAAAGCUACAUCAUAUAAUAUGAAAACCUAAAUUAUAGAAAUUCCUCUAGAUGAAAUCCUACUUAUGUGAAAAAACUUGACCAAUCUUAGUUAUAAUAUCUAUUUACCUCAUUAAACUAAACUUCUGAAGACAAAAAAGAGAGAGAGGGAAAAUAAAAGAAAAUGAGAAGAUAAACCAAAAAAGAGAUGGGAAAAAAGCCCUUGCCAAAGAUAACAUUUUCCCAGCAUAAACCAGUUGGCAUUGGCACACACAGAUGGCAGUAAACUAACUUGGAUUUAACAAGAAUUCUAGAUUGGAUCAAUAUGAUUGAGCUGCAGCCAUUGGUACAGAUCUGUAGCAAGCUCUCCUUGCUGCACGAACUAUAUCCUCGACCUGAGGUAAAGCCAUUCUCUCCAGAUUAGCUGCAUAGGGCAUGGGAACAUCAGCUCCAGUAAUUCUCUCAACUGGUGCAUCAAGAUAACCAAAGCUGUCCUCAAUAAUAGAUGCACAGAUUUCAGCGCCAACACCAUGCUGAGGGAAUCCUUCUUCAACUGUCACCAGUCUGUUGGUUUUCCGAACUGAAGCAUUGAUUGCAGGUCUAUCUAGUGGCCUAAUUGAACGCAAAUUUAUAAUCUCAGCACUGAUUCCAUCCUUUGCAAGUAUCUCAGCUGCCUGUGCAACAAAGAAAUGAAUCAUUUCCAUAUGGAAGAAAAAAAUUCAUCCAAUAGCACUAUGAAGUUUCCAAACAAAUAGCUCUACAUAUGAGGUGCAAAAUUCAUCAAAUGAGUGCUACAAAAUGAGGUACCAGAAGAGGCGGCAGCACAAAAUAAUUAAUGCAUAAACAUCAGAAAAUAUUACAGGAAACAUUAAAUCAAAGAACAGCCAUAAUCCCAUCACUUAAAUUCAAUUACCUCCAAAUUUGGUGACCUGAACACCGAUGCUCCCAAAGAUUGAGCCCCUGUUGCUCAGGCCGCACAGUGUCUACCCAUUUUACUUUUUAUGGUCAAGACAACUAUAUCUUGAGCAAUUUUACUUCAGUGCCUCUCAACAAAUGACAAAUUUUCCAGUGCAGUUUCAAUUUUUUAGAUUCUGAAUUUUUAUCCUCGUGAUAAUAUCCAGUUGUGCACCUACCUGCUACAUCUAAUUUUCACAAAACAUAACACAUCAUGCCAGAUGCAGAUCACACACAUUUCCAAUGUGAAAGAGUUUAAAGAAUGGAAACAAACCUUGAGAGCAUAGCCCACCAUUUUUGAGAAGGCUGUGAUAGUCACAUCCUUCCCUUCUCUCUCAAUCUUAGCUUUUCCUAUUGGAAGGCAAAAACUGGAGUCAAGUACUUCAGCUGAAACAGGAAAUGACUCACCAUAUAAUAACUCAUUUUCCAGGAAAACAACAGGAUCAGGGUCCCUUAUGGCAGCUUUUAGCAGUCCACGAGCAUCUUCAGAUGAGUAAGGGGCCAGCACUUUCAACCCAGGGCAGGAGGCGUACCAUGAAGCAUAACAAUGAGAGUGUUGAGCACCAACUCCUGCUGCAGCACCAUUUGGUCCCCUGAAAACUAUGGGCACAGAUAUCUGGCCAGCAGACAUGUAAUUGGAUUUUGCGGCGGAAUUAAUGAUAUGGUCAAUUGCCUGCAUAGAAAAGUUAAAUGUCAUAAACUCAACAACUGGCUUGAGACCAUAGUAAGCAGCGCCAACUCCAAUGCCAGUAAAUCCAGCCUCAGUAAUCGGAGUAUCAAGAACCCUUUCAGGACCAUACUUCUCCAAAAGCCCUUUAGAUAUCUUAUAUGCGCCCUGAUAUUCCCCAACCUCUUCUCCCAUCAAGAAGACUUUAGGAUCAGCAGACAUUUCCUCGUCGAGAGCAGAGUUCAGUGCUUCUCUAACAGUCAUCUCUUUAGCGGCGGAUGAAUAACCUCUCCAUGCUGAAGUAGCAGGCCGAAUCCUCUGCAGGGACUGCGCAAAAGCUUUUUGCCUAAUAAUCCCCAACAUAUUUUCUUCUUCUUGUUUCACUCAAGUACUUCGGUAGAGACGAACGAAUGAAUUCGACGACGGAAGAGCGAUCGGAUCCACAACCAGAUGUUAAAAUGGCGAUCCAAAGAACCAAAAGUUUCCUUUCACUGGUCUUCUUUAUCAAUUUUUUUAUUAUUAUUUUUU